rnacentral:rRNA from 1 species
UACAGAGGGUGCGAGCGUUGUCCGGAUUUAUUGGGUUUAAAGGGUGCGUAGGCGGCCUAUUAAGUCAGUGGUGAAAUCCUGCAGCUUAACUGUAGAACAGCCAUUGAUACUGAUGGGCUUGAGUUCAGACGAGGUAGGCGGAAUUUAUGGUGUAGCGGUGAAAUGCAUAGAUACCAUAAAGAACACCGAUUGCGAAGGCAGCUUACUAGACUGACACUGACGCUGAGGCACGAAAGCUGGGGGAGCAAACAGG